GUGAUUGACUGUGGGUAAUGCAGAAAUCUUUUCCUUCUCCUUGUGUGCAGUUUUUUAUUCCCAUAACACAAUAAACCAUUGGUUCAUCAUAAAAUAUUUGAUUUGACUCUAGCCUAUAUCCAGUACGUGAUCUCCAUAAUCUCCGGAUUUGCAAAGAAUGUCCCCAUAUUUUGUGACUUUAUGGGCACAUGUAUCCUUCUAGUAUAGAGCAACCUUAAAU